rnacentral:lncRNA from 1 species
GUUCUACCCUAUAGCUAUGUUUGUGCCACUACCACCUCCUGCCUCAAAGAAACUCUUGCCAGGGUGAUUUACCAAGGAUAAAGAUGUCUAAUUUAAGUUGGACCAACCCAAUUCUCUUUCUUGGAAAUUUGAAACUAGAAGAGAGCCACAUGGAGAAUGAAGGUCUUAUUUCAACUGUUGUUCAGGAAUGAUCCAAACAAAUUCAGAAGCAGAUUUAAAUGUUAUAGCAAACACUGGUAAUCUGGAUUUUUCAGUUUUCUCUGGUACUUCCCACUGGUUUCAAACUGCUCUCCUUCCAAAUUUAGUAAUGUUUAUUCCAGAAUGAAUGUAUUAAAUCUGAACUGUUUAAUAAGAGUAGCCAACCCCCAAAGUUAGAAUAAAGGGAAAGGCAAAACAUGCCACCCAUUAAGAAGCCAAGGCAUUACCAAGGUAAUUCUAUCAUCUAUCUCUUUCUCACACAAUGUGAGAUUUGGCAUUCUUGUCUACUCCUUUCCCGGGCUGCAGGCAGGAGAAGAAAAGAAGAUAGAUAUUCUCCUCACAACCCCCCAUACUCAUGCAAACACACACAAAGGCAAAAGUAUUGAUAAUUUAUCACAGAACCACAUCUACUCCUUGUUCUUACUGCCUUGUUACUUUCAUUAUGGUCUUCUCAAUUUAGGAAAACAGAUCUCAUAAACUCUCUUUGGUAAAGCAGAUAAUAAUAAUUUAUUUAAUUUUUACAUAGUGCCAAAAUUGAUCUAAGUCUUAUGCAUGUGCUAACUGAUUUAACAAUUAUAUUGACUCCAUGAGGAAGUUACUAUAAUUAUUUGCAGUUUAUAGAGGAGGAAAUUGAGGCACAGAGAAAAUUAGCAACUAAGGUCAUAGGGCUAGUGAAUGGCAGAACAGUAUUUAAAUCUUGAAAAUCUGAUUUAGAGUUUGCCCUCCCAACCAAUUUGUUAUGCCUUUGUCUAAUUUUAUCGAGUCAAUUAAAUGAAAUGAAUGCUUGGCAGCCCUUGUGUCUAAAUUUGUGACAGAAUUUAUCUACUUACCUUGUAUUAGGAUUGUUAGACUCAGACAACAUAAGGGAAAUCUAUUGUCAUUAGCCCACAUAGACACUAUUCCAAGUCCAUAACCUCAAAUUAAAUUGUCAAUGCUGCCAUGCAUGGCAGGAGCCAAGAGAAUCUUUCUA